AGGACGAACGCUGGCGGCGUGCUUAACACAUGCAAGUCGAGCGGUAAGGCUCCUUCGGGAGUACACGAGCGGCGAACGGGUGAGUAACACGUGAGCAAUCUGCCCUUAACAUCGGGAUAACUUCCGGAAACGGAAGCUAAUACCGAAUACGACCACCGGUGGCAUCUCCUGGUGGUGGAAAGUUCCGGCGGUGAAGGAUGAGCUCGCGGCCUAUCAGCUUGUUGGUGAGGUAAUGGCCCACCAAGGCGACGACGGGUAGCCGGCCUGAGAGGGUGACCGGCCACACUGGGACUGAGACACGGCCCAGACUCCUACGGGAGGCAGCAGUGGGGAAUAUUGGACAAUGGGCGAAAGCCUGAUCCAGCAACGCCGCGUGAGGGAUGACGGCCUUCGGGUUGUAAACCGUCUUUCAGCAGGGACGAAGCGAAAGUGACGGUACCUGCAGAAGAAGCACCGGCCAACUACGUGCCAGCAGCCGC
rnacentral:rRNA from 1 species